GUUUCAGAUUAAGGCUGAUGACGAGGCUCUUCAUCCAAAAUAAAUUUUAUGCGGCACUGAAGUAAUUGCUUCCAGAUUUCUCUAUGCCUCCGAAUACCUAGUGUUUGUUUAUCUUUAUAUGUUGAGUGUGCGAAUACCGAGAGUUUGUUCAUCUUUAUAUUUUGAGUGACCUUAAUUUGCUUGUAAUCUUACCCACUACUAUAUUACCUCUGUUUUUCACUUGGAACUUUGUGAGAGUUGUUUGGCCGGAACCAAGCAUACAAUUAUCUUUCCCAA
rnacentral:misc_RNA from 1 species